ACUCACACACACACUAUCUGCCUAGCAGAGGCUUGGAUCCCAGAGAGUUCCCCUGUCUUCUGUCUGGUACACUUGGAGGGAAGAUCGCCUGAGCUGGUUAUUGAAAUGACAGACCCCCAAGAAAACGGGAUUCUCCCGGGAAUUUCACACUAGGAGAAGAGAAGCCACAAGCCUAGGCCAGUCGGGGACAGGACACUUCUCCUGGGGAGAGCCUAGGACCUCGGUCGAUCACCUGACAGGAGAGGCUGGACGGGACCACACCUUGACCUUGGCCUGCUGAGCUCUGCAUAACUCUGGGCCUCUGGUGACUCCUCUGUCUCAUUUCAGGACUCACAUGGACUUGGGGUGGGGGGAGGGGGAGUCACACGAGCUCUGUCCAUUUUCUCAAUGUCGCUACAUCGAGUAAACCUCCUUUCCCUGCUU
rnacentral:lncRNA from 1 species